rnacentral:rRNA from 1 species
CCUACGGGAGGCAGCAGUGAGGAAUAUUGGUCAAUGGGCGAGAGCCUGAACCAGCCAAGUCGCGUGAAGGAUGACGGCCCUACGGGUUGUAAACUUCUUUUGUCAGGGAGCAAUUGGGUCCUCGCGUCUGCUUAUCGAUUGUCCCUGAGUAAAAAGCAUCGGCUAACUCCGUGCCAGCAGCCGCGGUAAUACGGAGGAUGCGAGCGUUAUUCGGAUUAAUUGGGUUAAAAGGGUGCGUGGGCGGAAUAUCAAGUCAGCGGUAAAAAUUCGGGGCUCAACCCGGACGUGCCGUUGAAACUGAUGUUCUGGAGUGGGCGAGAGGAAUGCGGAAUGCGUGGUGUAGCGGUGAAAUGCGUAGAUAUCACGCAGAACUCCGGUUGCGAAGGCAGCAUACCGGAGCCCAACUGACGCUGAAGCACGAAAGCGUGGGUAGCGAACAGGAUUAGAUACCCGUGUAGUC